UGUCCCAGGUUGUUCCCAUGACAUGGUUGGACUGCUAAUUUUCAUUCUUUCCAGGCACGGAGAGAAUUCUCACUGAAGAGCUGUGCCCCAAAUAGCCUCGGAAGCUUGCUGAUUGGGAAGUCCUUGCUGCAUGGAAGGAAGGGCCAUGGUGUCCUCUUCAAGAAGAUUUGGUCUUCCCAUUCUUCCUCUCUGAGCUGGUGAGCGUGACAGCACACAGGAAAGGCGCCCUCAUGUUGAAAAGACCUGAAGUCAAGACUUUCUCCUUGAUGGCAAUGCUAUGUAAUGGCGUGGGAGAAAGAGGAUUCCAGAGAACCUGAAUCUCAUCCACGUCUGCUGCUCUGACAGCUCCGUGCCUCCCUGUGUGUGUUGGACGCAGUUGGGUUUUCUAUAGCAGCUGUGUUUGUGGACAUCAUCCCCCAGUGGAAGGGGGCAGAGGCAUCACAUUAUAUAGCCUCAGCAGAGAAAAGGAUUUUUCUCAACCUAAUGGAAUGAUGUCUGGCAGAACAAGGAUGAGUCCAGGACCUGGCUGUUGCUGUGACCACCCUGACCUGCAGAGAAGCUCCAGACUCGAUUCUCUAACAACGCAGGAGAUCGGUUCAGAGUCAGUUACUCCGUCACCUCCACGCUCAACCAGCUGUAGCAUCUGAAAUGGCACCAGCUGUAGCAUCUGACACCAGCGGUCGAAGUUUCUGCAUUUUGAAGAAAUGGUACCGGUUAGAUUCUUCCUACGGCUGCUGUAGAGCGGAGUUCAGAGGAGAGGCAGAGCUGUGAGGACGGAGUGGCCAGGAAUACUUUCGUGGUAUUUGGGAACGACCUUG
rnacentral:lncRNA from 1 species